GCUAGAUGUAGCCUGCUUUAACUGUGAUGGCAUUCAGUGGGGCCUAGCUGGGCGUUAAAAACGGGCAGAUCGCAGGGGGCUCUGGUCGGCCCUGUGCCACCCGUCGGAAGUCGAACCGGGUGACGCCUCGGGGUUGAAGUGCGUGAAAUGGACUUUAGUUUCCUUUUCUCUGCUUCCUGGCCUCUCAGAAGUGGUCUGCCCUAUCUUCCGCACGUUCCUGUCACUGUGAUGUGCUGCCUCACCACAGGACCUUGGCACAGAGCCAGCCCGCCAUGGAUGAAGACCUCUGAAGCCAUGAGCCUAGCAUUAACAGGUGCACAUGGAAGCUUCUAGAAACCCUUAUCUACACUGGAGAAUAAUCAGGACUGAGCAGCCUGGUGCCUUGCUGGACCCGAUUGCCAAAGUCCCUGCAGCUCUCUGAAGGUGGGGGAUUGCAGUGGGCAUCUGCUCUGUGCAGGUAAAUCAAUGAAGGACGAAGCUGUCUGCCUGGGGAGUCUGUGCCCACUGCUCUCCUCCUUGAAGCUGCAGAAAGGGAAUGUCUGACAGCUUGGUGGGGCCCUGGCCUUGGAGGAGACUUGGUCCGGAACAUUACAGGCCUGA
ensembl:lincRNA Gm45106 predicted gene 45106